rnacentral:rRNA from 1 species
GAGUGCGCGUGCCGUAGCAAUACGGUAUGGCGCACGGCGCACGGGUGCGUAACACGUGGGCAAUCUGCCCUCCGGUGGGGAAUAACCCCGCGAAAGCGGGGCUAAUUCCGCAUAACACUCCCUGGACUCCGGUUCGGGGAUUCAAAGCAGUGAUGCGCCGGAGGAGGAGCCCGCGCCCGAUUAGCUAGUUGGUGAGGUAACGGCUCACCAAGGCAAUGAUCGGUAGCUGGUCUGAGAGGAUGGCCAGCCACACUGGAACUGAGACACGGUCCAGACUCCUACGGGAGGCAGCAGUGGGGAAUCUUGCGCAAUGGGCGAAAGCCUGACGCAGCGACGCCGCGUGGGGGAUGAAGCUUCUCGGAGUGUAAACCCCUUUCGACCGGGACGAAUGCCCGCAAGGGAGUGACGGUACCGGUAGAAGAAGCCCCGGCUAACUACGUG